UGAAGUCAGACACUUAACCGACUGAGCCACGCAGGCACCCUGUGACCAUUUAUAUUUAAGCAUUUCUCUAAUAAUCUAUUUUAAACAUAUAUAUUUACUUUUAAAAUGUGUGUGGUUUUUAAAUAUAUAUUUUUUAUGUUUAAAACACAUAUACAUAUUUUUUUUCUUUUUCCUCAGCCUAUAUGAAUAAAAACACCAGCAAAAUUCCAUUUAUAUUCUUGAAAUGCACUGUGAAAUGAACUCUGUCAGAUCGAUAGUAAGGAUCUUGGCACCGAUGCCAAUUUAAAUGUUACUAUAGCAAUCGCCAUGGUAAUGUUUUCAAUUAGUGAUACACAGUCACAGCAUAACAUGGAUCUAGUGUAUCAUUUGGUAACUUCAAAAUGGAUCUACAGAUUAUUUGAUUUUACCAGUCAAAUAAGAGCCAGACAAGAAAGAAAGAAAGAAAGAAAGAAAGAAAGAAAGAAAGAAAGAAAGAAAGAAAGAAAGAAAGAAAGAAAGAAAGAAAGAAAGAAAGAAAGAAAGAAAGAAAAAGUGAAACAAGCAACAACCAUGGUCUAUUCCUAGGUUUCAAAUUUCAAAUAUUCUCUAACUAAAGUUUAAAAGUAUUUUAAAUCCAUUAGCAUGUUUAUGUUUGCAAAUCAGCUAUAUAAGCACAACACAGUUACAAAAAAUUGUACUUAAUGAGUCAUUGUCAAGAUACUGUCAUUAAAAAAUCCAGGGUUUAUAUCAUCUGAAAAAUCUAUCUGAAAAUAAAGUUACGUAUAAUAAAUAGUUACUAUUAAAUCUCAUGGAGGGAAGGAAAAUAGAGAUGAUAAUAAUAUAAUAGUCAUUCAUUAUGGUUCUAUCCAGCAUUUAUUAAGUACAUGUCAUGGACCAGGCACUCCUCACAGCUUUGGUAAUCAUUCAUUCUGUUUUGAGACAGCCCAUGUCUUUCUCUUCCUAGUCCACUGGAAUUUUUCCACCUCCAUCUUUAAGUUUCCUGGGGCUAUUCAGCCAGUGAAAUUUGGGUGGGUGUGAUGUGUGCUCUAUCUGGGAAGAACGUUUAUGAACUGCUGCGUGAUCUUUUUUCAUCUGCCAUACCAAGUAUGGCAAGAUUUCCCAGCCUAGGACCCCAAAUAAAGACAAGGGGAGCUUACCCCCACCCCUGCAAGCCAACCUGUGAUGGAUAUAUAAUGGGAGAGAAAAAGAAAAUUUUUGUUUGAAACUUCUUGCACACCCUAGGCCUUUAUAACUGAUGCAUAUAUCUUAAAUCACAGAAAUUGCUGAAAUCACACUCUCAAAAAUCUAUUUGAUGAAGGCGCUAUUGUUCAGAUUUUAUACAUGAAAAAUAUGAAAGUUCACAAUGUUUAAAUAAAUUGCCCAAGGUAAACAUCUAUUAGGUGGUGAGGGAGAAAAUAAAAAUCACGUCUGAGAGCUGACAGCUGGUACCUGGCCUGCUGACUAAGAGCUAUGCUAUAGUUUCCCCUGCUGAACACCAACUGGACAGAAUAUCAUCAUCAGAUGAACUCACUCAAUAGCUGUGAAUGGAUAAGGCAAAAGCAGAGACACUAGGUAGCCCCAAAAUGACCAAAUAUCUUUCUUUCUUGGUUAUUUUUUCAAAGACAAUCUCAAACUGUUUUUCAAGCUUUCUAUACAGAAGAUAAUAUACAUCUAUAUAAUUGCCCUGAUUUCCUGAUAUGACCUAAUCAAAUGCUGAUCUCUGCUUUCAUAAGCACUUCCCAAAUAUCCUAGCAUAUUCCCAAAUUCUGUAAUAAACCUAUCCUAACUCUCUCUGACCAAAUUACUUCCAACUUCCCCAUGAUGGGAAGUGUGCCUCAUUGCAGGAAGUUAAUACACCUAAGUUUGACACAACUGUAUUAUUCGUGAUUUUUUGGACAUUGGACUUUUCCAGUGGUAAUUGAGACUUAUACUAGGGGAGUCUGGCUCUAGUAUCCAUAACACACCACUGUGCUGAAUAAAUCUGAAUAAAACAGUAUGACUAUUGAUAAUUAAUAAAGUAAUUAACAUAGGUUAUUUCCUUUCUUUUACUGAACUACUCAAGGGAUUUGAAUUAAAACAAUAUGUCAAGGAACAUUGUAGUGAAAUCAGCACUGAUAGGAUUUAUUGGUGUGUGUCUGUGUGUGUGUGAAUUUAUAAGGAAAUUUUGUUAAGGAAUAGGUUUACUUCUCACCCCCCUGCCCGAACCUCACUUGCAGAGGCUUGCAUCAAUUAUACUCCCAUCUUAUGAGCCAUAAUUAUUGUUUGUUCAUACAAGGUUCUCUUAUUUCAUUGAUUUAUUUUUAUUUUUAUUCCCAUAUUCUACUCUCAGCUACCCCAGUUUUCCUGAGAGUUUCCAAUAAAUAAGAACCUGUGAAUCAAAAGUGUCUUGCAUUAAAAAUUAAUUACCCUUAUCAUGUACCCAGGGGUUUGUGUAGAAUUAUGAUCUGAUUUGAUGGAGGAAUAAUGGAUCAAGAGUUCAAAUGACUCAAUGUGCUUAUUUUAUGCCUAUAAGAUGGGAUGUAAUGGAAUACCUAACUGUAGGUACUAUUUCAACAAUUUGAACAUGUUAUCUUUCACUUUACACAUAUUACACACAUUGCACAUAAUUGAAUCUAUCUUUUUAGGGACUGUAAAGUUACAAAUGCUUAAAAUUUAGUUAGAAAUCCUGCACAAAGAGGUUAAUAAAGGGCUGAAAUAUCUCUAUAACCCACUGCAUUCCCAAGGGAGAGUAUUAUUCUCACCUUAAACAAUCAUACUCUUACUACUAAUCUUCAUUAGGACAUCUUUUCUUUGCUAUAAAAGGAAAACUAAGAAGCAAAAAUGCAUCCAAGUUAAUCUAAAAUUAGGCCUAGCUGAAGUUCCUUACACCUCUUGCUAUGGAUCCUUCUCUGUAGGAAACUCAUUUAAAUCUGUCACAUGAGAAGACCAGUUUAUUUUUAUUUUUUUCAUCAUAUAUUUGCCAAAGGAACAUAUGUUUGCUGCUUAAAUAACAUCAUUAAGCAUCAGAGAUAUGAAGUAUAUUCAUCAAAGCCAAAAUCAGAUUCUCAAAUAUGGCCUCUUAGGAAGGAGCCUGUUACUAAAUAUAAAUUCUAGAAUGUAUGCUUUGGUUACUUGGAUAUUAAUAGUGAGUCACAGAAUUAUUUAAUUAUUGUUUUUAUUGCAUAAUACUGUGACCAUAUACUCUGCCACAUACUUGACACAGCUUAUCUUUUCUAAUAGGAUUCUGUUUACUAAGCCUCUAAGAGUCAACUUUGUCAACAACACUGUGACUCAGGAUAUUCAGUAUGUCAUAACCUCCUGAUAGAUAAUAACUCAACGAACAAUCAUUUUUAGUUCGUGAUUUUGUCAUCCUAAUCUAAUGAGACCAUCAUCAUCAUCAUGAUUUUCAUCAUCAUCAUCAUCAGAACUAAUAACUUUGAUGCACUGUCAAGUGUGGGUUUGGGCCAUACCUUCACAAGUCAAUUCUGCAACACAGUGCUGGAAUCAAUAGACCGUACAAGGUUGAGGAGAGGGAUAAAGUUGACAGAGACUGUCAUUUGAUGAAAAUAUACAUCACUCGUCACAAAAUGCCUCAAUGUGAACACAAUUAUGAGAUUUAUAUAUAAAAAUUUCAACUACUGUGAAUUUUACAGUUGGCCACUGAUUCAGAAGGAAGGCUCAUUUGGCCAAUAUACUUAAAAACUUAUAUGCUAUUCAUCUUAUAAGAAUGCUUAAAGUUUAGUAAUAUGUGAACUUUGAAUUUUUCAAUGGCUGGAUUUAAAAAUCUGAGAAUUUGGUUACAUCCAUUUUGGGAUGAAAUUUAGCAUGAUGGGCCACAUAAUUUUCUCUUAAGUAGUAGUUUUAAAUUCAAGAGUAGCUUAGAUCCAAUGUGGAAAUUGUCCAGCAAGUGAAAUUCUGUUUUCUUUCACCAACAAUUAAAAGUGCUUUGAAGAAUCAAAAAUUUAAGAUAUGAUAACUCUUUAUUUAUGAAAUUUUGGUGAGAUUGAGAGAAAGAUUAAGGAAGCAGAUUGAAAGUUUCAAAGAACACCUUAUUUCUUAAUCCAUAGAGAGGAAACACAUAUUGUUAUUCACUUAAAAUAACCCUGAUAGUCUUUCUAAAGAGUUGUAUUCAGAUCACUUGGAGUUCCAAGUGCCAGACUGUUAUCAACUUUUAUCAUUCUUUUCCUUUCUUGUCUUCUCUUUUCCAACACGACAAGCUUCAAGUUUAAUAAAUAUAGGAACCUAUCACCCCAAAACUUUUCAUAUCUUCUAUUUCUCCUCAAUCUGGCUUUUCUCUGAUAUCUGACAUAUAUACCUAAAAAUACUUUUCUUAAAAUACUUUUUGUACAUUGUAUCUCCUUUAUCAUCACAAACACAUACUUUUCAACUAUAUUUCAUUGAGCCUUACAAAUGAACAUAUUGGGAAAACUAUUACGGGUUGCUUAUACAAAUAAAGAAAUUUGGGCUCAGAAGAAUCAAAUUACCUCCCUAGGAUUAGAGUUAGGAUAUGACAGUGUUGGAAUAGGAAACCAGAUGAUCUCAUUUCAGAGCACAUGAUAGUAAACUGAUCUACAUUGUUAAAGGAGCCUCUGGUGAUGCCGCCUACAUCAGGUUCAAUCCCUCUGCUCAUUUUUUCAGAGAUCCAUUCUUGAACCCGUGCUACCCUUUCAACUUCAGGCCCCACUGCUUCCUAACACAUAUGCUCUUUUCCAAGAUGGGCUGUGUGUGUUUUAGAGAGGGAUUAUAUUAUCUUUAAUUUUCAUAAUAGAAGCUGGCAUUAGUUCUAGUAAGGCUGAGAGACAUUAAUUCUAAUUUUUAUCCGUGUUUUAAAAAAUAAAGUUUAAGACCCAU